rnacentral:rRNA from 1 species
CAUUGGCGUGGGCGCAAGCCUGACCGCCUGCCGCGUGUAUGAAGAAGGCCUUCGGGUUGUAAAGUACUUUUGUCAGGGAAGAAAAGCCUGAGGAUAACACCCUCAGGUCAUGACGGUACCUGAAGAAUAAGCACCGGCUAACUACGUGCCAGCAGCCGCGGUAAUACGUAAGGUGCGAGCGUUAAUCGGAACUACUGGGCGUAAAGCGAGCGCAGACGGUUAUUUAAGCAAGAUGUGAAAGCCCCGUGCUCAACCUGGGAACUGCGUUUUGAACUGGGUAACUAGAGUGUGUCAGAGGGGGGUAGAAUUCCACGUGUAGCAGUGAAAUGCGUAGAGAUGUGGAGGAAUACCGAUGGCGAAGGCAGCCCCCUGGGAUAACACUGACGUUCAUGCUCGAAA